CACGUAGGGGGCGAGCGUUGUCCGGAUUCAUUGGGCGUAAAGGGCGCGCAGGCGGCCCGGAAAGUCGGAUGUGAAAACUCGAGGCUCAACCUCGAGCGUGCACCCGAUACUGCCGGGCUUGAGGCAGGUAGGGGAGAUCGGAAUUCCUGGUGUAGCGGUGAAAUGCGCAGAUAUCAGGAGGAACACCGGUGGCGAAGGCGGGUCUCUGGGCAACAACUGACGCUGAGGAGCGAAAGCGUGGGGAGCGAACAGG
rnacentral:rRNA from 1 species